rnacentral:rRNA from 1 species
UACAGAGGUGGCAAGCGUUUGUUCGGAAUUACUGGGCGUAAAGGGCGCGUAGGCGGCCUUCUAAGUCAGACGUGAAAUCCCCCGGCUUUAACCUGGGAACUGCGUCUGAUACUGGAGGGCUUGAGUGCGGGAGAGGGAUGUGGAAUUCCAGGUGUAGCGGUGAAAUGCGUAGAUAUCUGGAGGAACACCGGUGGCGAAGGCGGCCGUCUGGGGCCGACCCUGACGCUGAGGCGCGAAGGCGUGGGGGAGCGAACGGGG